rfam:Trichuris trichiura, WGS project CBXK01000000 data, contig: TTRE_3471
GCUCAUAGUCCGGAGGCACAAUGACAUUCUGAAGAAGCUGAUGCAGUCAGCUGAAGCCUCCGGAUUCCAUCUUGUACAUGAGCCCGUGAUCCGGCUGGAAGGGGAAACCCUGAAACCGGAUCUGCUCCUCACACGAGAAGACUCCUGCUGGGUCUUAGAUGUGGCCAUUCCCUGGGAGACUAACGACGCUCUAAGUCGACGCCACGCCGAAAAGUGCCGAAAAUACGAGCGCCUGAAGGAGGCAGUGUGCAAGCUGACGGGCGCGAAGCAAUUCGGCACUGGUGCCAUAAUCAUCGGAGCUCGGGGCGGCUGGUGCACCCAAAAUGAUGCUACGCUCAAGAAACUGCAAUGGAACAUGAGCGAAAAGUUCCAGGCGCUCCUCUGUACAAUGGCCCUUGAAAGGACCAUACAAAUUGUGAAUUGGUUCAUGAGGAGCUCCACGCAACCGGCAUUCCGAAGUGAUCGUCGGGGGCGGAACGCAUAAUACCGGACUUGACUGAAACCCAACCUGGACGCGCCACGGAGUCGCCCGCUCCAUUAAUGUGGCUUCACCAACAGGGGCACCGGACAACAUUGAUGCAGCACGACUCGGCCUACAUGUCCGGCCCGAGUCAGAGCAAAAAGCGAGCAAUCAAGACGCUACCGCCAAGUAGCACAUCCUACAAUCACGCUCGCCAAAGCACUUUCUCGUCAUCUUUCUUUUGUGAUUUAUUUGCCCAUAUAUAUGCACGUCUUUGUUGUUCGCCGCUGCACGAACACUUACACAUUCUGUUCAUGCCUUAUUUCACUAUUAGCUUCGGUUUUUUGAGUUGCAGCAGCUUAUGUUCUUUCCGUUGGUAUCGCAAGCCUUACAUAUUGUAAAAAUUGCAAAUAAACUUGACUAGCCAAAUGCCUCGUCAUCUAAUUAGUGACGCGCAUGAAUGGAUCAACAAGAUUCCUACCGUCCCUAUCUACUGUCUAGCGAAACCACAGCCAAGGGAACGGGCUUGGCAGAAUCAGCGGGGAAAGAAGACCCUGUUGAGCUUGACUCUAGUCUGACUCUGUGAACAGACAUUGAAGGUGUAGCACAGGUGGGAGACCGGUGGCCGUUCGCGGUACCGUGCCGACAGUGAAAUACCACUACUUUGAUGCAGCACGACUCGGCCUACAUGUCCGGCCCGAGUCAGAGCAAAAAGUGAGCAAUCAAAGCGCUGCAGCUAAGCAGCACAUCAUACAACCACGCUCGCUGAAGCAAUUUCUCGUCAUCUUUAUUUCGAGACUUAUUCAUUUACAUAUAUAUAUACUUUUCGUUGUUUGCUGCUGUGCGAACACUUACACUUUGUGUUUAUGGCUUAUUUCGUUACUAGCCUCGGUUUUUUGAGUUACAGCAGUUUAUGUUUCUUCGUUGGCCUCGCAAGCCUUACAUAUUGUAAAAAUUGCAAAUAAAUUUGAAUAGCCAAAUGCCUCGUCAUCUAAUUAGUGACGCGCAUGAAUGGAUCAACAAGAUUCCUACUGUCCCUAUCUACUGUCUAGCGAAACCACAGCCAAGGGAACGGGCUUGGCAGAAUCAGCGG